UCGCCACGGUAAUACCAGCUCUCCGAGUGGUGGGGACGAUUAUUGGGCCUAAAGCAUCCGUAGCCGGCUAGGCAAGUCCCCCCGUAAAUCCACGAUUUAAUCGUUGGUCUGCGGGGGAGUACUGCUUGGCUAGGAGGCGGGGAGAGGCCGUCGGUAUUCUUGGGGUAGGGGUGAAAUCCUAUAAUCCCAAGAGGACCACCAGUGGCGAAGGC
rnacentral:rRNA from 1 species